GUUGCAAAUUCGCCAAAUUAUUUUUCUGAAUCAAUUUUGGUUUUGUCUUUUCUGUACACUUUAGGCUAUUUAUCUUUUUUUUUUUUUUUUUUUUUUUUUUUUUUUUUUUUUUUUUUUUUUUUUUUUUUUUUUUUUUUUUUUGGUAGUACAUGUUUGCAGAACUGUGGGAGAAUUUCAACCCUGGCUAGGCCAGGUGCACUGCACUCCUGUCUCCUGAGCUAACUCAGAGACCUUGCUAAAGGCUGAGCUAACUCACCUAAGUACAUAGAUGCUGAGUUCAACAGGCUACACCUCUGCCCCUAGUCCACAACUCCUUCACCUCGCCCAAUAAAAAUCACUCCACCACGUCUCCAAUAAAAUAUCGCCAAAUGUUAAAUGCUCCUCCCAUGCUCCUCCCCCAUGGUUGUCCCUAUAUAAACCUGUGCAUUUCCUGAAUAAAGCAGAAGACUUCCAGAAACCUCCCCGGAGUCUGCCUGGUGGUUCCUCGCCUUACCCUACCAGUCCAAGCUCCCAAACCGAACUCCACAGACCAAGCAGCAGACAGCAACAGCUGGUGCCCAAAUGUAGGGCUUGCGUAUGCUGGGUAAAUAUUGAAGCCGCGGUGUGAUCUCUCAGACGUGUUUCAGCCAUUUUUCCACCCACAAUGCUGUAAUGCCAUCUGCCAUAAGGAUUUCAGGAAAACAAAACAGAUCCUGCCACCAUGCCCUUGCAUAUCUAGAACUAUGAGCUAAAUAAACAUCUGUUCUUUACAAAAUUUCCCAGUUAUAAAUAUUUUGUUAUAAUAAAAAAAGAUUAUAUAGUGGGUUUAUCACUUUUAUCAAAUUUUGAA
rnacentral:lncRNA from 1 species